UACGGGGGGGAGCAAGCGUUGUUCGGAAUUACUGGGCGUAAAGCGCGUGUAGGCUGCUUCGAAAGUCGGAUGUGAAAGCCCUGGGCUCAACCUAGGAAGUGCAUUCGAAACUUCGAAGCUUGAGUUCUGGAGAGGAAGGCGGAAUUCUCGGUGUAGAGGUGAAAUUCGUAGAUAUCGAGAGGAACACCGGUGGCGAAGGCGGCCUUCUGGACAGUGACGUGACGCUGAGACGGCGAAAGCGUGGGGAGCAAACAGGG
rnacentral:rRNA from 1 species